rnacentral:rRNA from 1 species
UCCAGCUCCAAUAGCGUAUACUAAAGUUGUUGCAGUUAAAAAGCUCGUAGUUGGAUUUUUUGCUGCGGAUGUGCCGCCGCGACGCUACGGCGUGUGUGGUGGCUUGAUUCCGCGGCAAUUUCACGGCGUGUCCUGUGCGCAUUCGUUUGUGUGCGGGUCGUGUGCGUCGUGUCGUUUACUGUGAGAAAAUUAGAGUGUUU